rnacentral:rRNA from 1 species
GACGAACGCUGGCGGCGUGCAUAACACAUGCAAGUCAAGGGGGUCAGUAGCAAUACUGGCAACCGGCGAACGGGUGCGUAACACGUAAGCGACCUACCUCAAUGUGGGGCAUAGCCGGCCUAACGGCCGGGUAAUUCCGCAUGUGAUCUUGGAGGGCAUCUCUCCGGGAUGAAACCAGUAAUGGGCAUUGAGAGGGGCUUGCGGCCUAUCAGCUUGUUGGGAGGUAACGGCUCACCAAGGCUACGACGGGUAGCUGGUCUGAGAGGAUGGCCAGCCACAUUGGGACUGAGAACGGCCCAGACUCC